rnacentral:rRNA from 1 species
CGGCUCAGUAACACGUGGAUAACCUACCCUUGAGACGGGGAUAAACCCGGGAAACUGGGUAUAAUACCCGAUAGAUCUCGACUGCUGGAAUGCAUCGAGCUUGAAAGCUCCGGCGCUCAAGGAUGGGUCUGCGGCCUAUCAGGUAGUAGUGGGUGUAGCGUACCUACUAGCCUACGACGGGUACGGGUUGUGAGAGCAAGAGCCCGGAGAUGGAUUCUGAGACACGAAUCCAGGCCCUACGGGGUGCAGCAGGCGCGAAAACUUUACAAUGCUGGAAACAGCGAUAAGGGGACCUCGAGUGCCAGGUUACAAAUCUGGCUGUCGUGAUGCCUAAAAAGCAUUGCAUAGCAAGGGCCGGGCAAGACCGGUGCCAGCCGCCGCGGUACCACCGGCGGCUCGAGUGGUAACCGUUAUUAUUGGGUCUAAAGGGUCUGUAGCCGGCCGGAUAAGUCUCUUGGGAAAUCUGGCAGCUUAACUGUCAGGCUUUCAGGAGAUACUGUCUGGCUCGAGGCCGGGAGAGGUGAGAGGUACUUCAGGGGUAUGGGUGAAAUCUUGUAAUCCUUGAAGGACCACCAGUGGCGAAGGCGUCUCACCAGAACGGACCUGACGGCAAGGGACGAAAGCUAGGGGCACGAACCGGAUUAGAUACCCGGGUAGUCCUAG